rnacentral:tRNA from 1 species
GCACACUUAGCUCAAUGUUUAGAGCAUCACUCACCUGAAGAUGAGGUUGUGGGUUCAAUUCCCACAGUUUACA